rnacentral:tRNA from 1 species
GGCCCAUUCGUCAAGUUGGUUAAGACGCAGUUUUUUCGAUACUGUUUCGUGAGUUCGAUCCUCACAUGGGCUA